rnacentral:rRNA from 1 species
AUUGAACGCUGGCGGCAGGCCUAACACAUGCAAGUCGAACGAGUGGCGGACGGGUGAGUAAUGUCUGGGGAACUGCCUGAUAGAGGGGGAUAACUACUGGAAACGGUCGCUAAUACCGCAUACCAUCGGAUGUGCCCAGAUGGGAUUAGCUUGUGGGUGGGGUAAAGGCUCACCAAGGCGACGAUCCCUAGCUGGUCUGAGAGGGUGACCAGGCACACUGGGAAUGAGACAAGGGCCAGAAUCCUACGGGAGGCAGGAGGGGGGAAUAUUGCACAAUGGGCGCAAGCCUGAUGCAGCCAUGCCGCGUGUAUGAAGAAGGCCUUCGGGUUGUAAAGUACUUUCAGCGGGGAGGCGUUACCCGCAGAAGAAGCACCGGCUAACUCCGUGCCAGCAGCCGCGGUAAUAC